UACGUAGGGUCCGAGCGUUGUCCGGAAUUACUGGGCGUAAAGAGCUCGUAGGUGGUUUGUCGCGUUGUUCGUGAAAACUCACAGCUCAACUGUGGGCGUGCGGGCGAUACGGGCAGACUUGAGUACUGCAGGGGAGACUGGAAUUCCUGGUGUAGCGGUGGAAUGCGCAGAUAUCAGGAGGAACACCGGUGGCGAAGGCGGGUCUCUGGGCAGUAACUGACGCUGAGGAGCGAAAGCCGUGGGGGAGCGAACAGG
rnacentral:rRNA from 1 species